rnacentral:lncRNA from 1 species
AUUUAUGUCAAAAUGAGAUUAUGGUUCUUGGAGCAGUAACUGUAAUGAUAUUGUCACUUGGUAUCCAUGGACACAUUUAAGGCUCUCUUCCACAGGAAGCAAUGAGAUAAAUAUUUAGACAGUUUUCAAUUUUUCUGCUAUUAACAGAAUUCUGCAGUGAACAACCUUGUAACUAAAUCUUCAAGCACACUUUUUUUUUUUUUUUGAGCCGAGUCUCACUCUGUCGCCCAGGCUGGAGUGCAGUGGCGCAAUCUCAGCUCACUGCAACCUCCGCCUCCCAGGUUCUAGCAAUCCUCCUGCCUCAGCCUCCUGAGUAGCUGGGACUACAAGGGCCCAUCACCACGCCUGGCUAUUUUCUUUUGUAUUUUUGUAGAGAUGUGGUUUCACCAUUUUGGCCAGGCUGGUCUUGAACUCCUGACCUCACAUGAUCCGCCCAUCUCGGCCUCCCAAAGUGGUGGGAUUAGAGACAUGAGCCACCACACCCAGCCAGCCUCUUGAGUAGCUGGGACUAUAGGCACAUGCCAUCACACCCCAGCUAAUUUUUGCAUUUUUCAUAGGGACAGGGACUUGCUAUGUUGCCCAGGCUGGUGUCAAACUCCUGGCCUCAAGAGAUCCUCCAGCCUCAGUCUCCCAAAGUGCUGGUAUUACAGACAUGAGCCACCAUGCCCAGCUGUGAUGUUUCUUUUUAAAAGGAAAUUGCCAGCCCUUCAGGGCCUCUCUUUCUCCCUUCCCACAGACUGGAACUCAAACCCAAUUGAGACCAUGUAAAUGAGGACAACACCUUAGGGAAUGGCAAAACAAAGACUGAAGUACUUUAGGACCCUGAAUGACUGCAUGGAACAGAACCCUGCUGGAGCCCGAAGCACUGACCUCUGACCUCUUACCUCUGACAUGAGAUGUCUCUUUGCUACAGAAUCUCAGUCUUAUCUUAAUAGCACAGGGGGGUCAAUACAUCUUUUAUUAGUUACAGUAAGGCACUUUGGAGUACUAAUUAAGUUUUAUACAAUGAGCAGGUUAGGUAUGACUUGACAUCAUCCGUAACAGCCAAAAUGAUGUAUCCUCCACCUACAUGUUCCAGUAUUUCAUUUGUUAGUAUUAUUCAUACCCGCAUAAAGAAAAUUUUCCUUCCUUAUAAAAGUGCAGUGGUUUCAGUGCUAAUCAUUCCCUGCUUCCUCUCCACAACAGUUCCUUCAGUGUUAAUGCACGGCAUCUUAACUGACAGCAAGCUACUGAAUUUCAGCUUCAACUUCAGCUCUGUAUUGCACAUGGGAACUCUUGAAAAGACAAUCUGAUCCUGUCCCUCUCAGGGGAGAAACUUUUGGGCCACAGCUUUUUUCUCAGCUAUAGCAAGGAAAGCAGAUAGGGAAAAGAGGUGAGUUGGUCACUAUGUGCAGAAUAUGGCCAAUCAGAGAAGUUCUGCUAAAGGAGCAAGCAGGUGUGGCAGUUGCUGAGAUUUGCCUAUAGCAGUUAUUUACUUACAUGUCUAUGUCUCCUAAUUUUAAGCUUUUUGAGGUCAGGUGCCAUGUUUCAGGUAUUCUUCAAUGCUUAGUGCCCAGCACAUUGCUUGGUACAUAGUAGGUUCUCAAUACAUUUUACUGAAUGAAUGAAUGAAUUGAUGAAUGGCUAUCUUGGCUCCCCAACUAGACUGUUAGCCCCCUUGAUUGGCCUCAGAGUAACAUAGAUCCUUAAAAUGAACAAAUUACAAGACUACUUUGGGGAUUGUUUUAAGAAAUCCUGUUUAAAAAAUAAUUGAAAUGCUAGCCAAAGUGUUUUUUGAUUUUGCUUUAAUGAUUUUAAUUAGUAUCCAACAUCAAUUCUUAAUCUGUAUACAACAGUUCUGGAGUGACCUGGAUAACAAUUUGUUUGCUCAUACACCUUAAGUACUCCCCAAAUAGAAUGUAUAAAAGUACUAAUUUAGAUUGGUUUUGUGUAAUCUGUGAAUAAAUAAUAUUUUACAGCAGUUCUCUGGGUAAUGAGAGUCACUCUGUACAGAUAGUAGGUAUGUACUUAAAUAUUUAUACAUUUCCCUCUGAGCUAGUAAGUCAUUGACCCUGAAGCUGGAAUGAGGCUGGUUUGCACCUUGGAAAACUUAAUCGUUCCCAUGGUAACACAGAGACUCUUGCCUACCACUUCUUCCCACAUCUUUGUUAUAUUUAAAGCAAGAAAUUGUUAUUUACUUCAUAUUUGAUAUGUUGAUACAAUUUUCAGGGCACAAAUUCCUAACCUCAGCCAUUCUUGUGUAUAAAAUAUUGCCAUAGUAACAAUAAAAAAACUGAUUAUAAGUAAUAACUUAUGAACUGAAAAAUGAUCUGUCAAUUCUAUAGCAUUUUAGAGUUCAAAAAAUGUUCCCUCAAUUUUGCGACAAUUAUCAAGAUGUUGGGAUUAAAAACAUAUUUAACCAACUAGUGAACUAAUGAUUCUUACAUAUUUUGAAAAGACAACUACUAAGUUACUUUACAUGUUUAAAUUUAAAAUAUUUUUUGCUUAUCAAAAAAUAAUUUCUGUUCAUUAUAGCAAAGUUAGAGAAUAAAGACAGGCAAAAAGAACAUUUAACAAUCCAGUAAUCUCCAUUUCCCAUGGUUAUUAUGUCUUUUCAGUAUCUUUUCAGUGUGUGUAUAUGUGGAGGUGAUGUGGCGAUGGUGUUGAAGAGAGAAAGAAAGAAGCUCAUCUCCCAAUAAAUUUUGUUCUGUAUUCUGAUUUUUUAAAACUUCAUAUAUGCCGGGCAUGGUGGCUCACGUCUGUAAUCCCAGAACUUUGGGAGGCCGAGGCGGGCAGAUCACGAGGUCAAGAGAUCAAGACCAUCCUGGCCAACAUGGUGAAACCCUGUCUCUACUGAAAAUACAAAAAUUAGCUGGGUGUUGUGGUGCGUGCCUGUAGUUCCAGCUACUUGGGAGGCUGAGGCAGGAGAAUCGCUUGAACCUGGGAGGUGGAGGUUGCAGUGAGCUGAGAUCGUGUCACUGCACUCCAGCCUGGCGACAGAGCAAGACUCCGUCUAAGAAAACAAAACAAAACAAAAACUUCAUAUAUUAUGAACAUCUUUUCAAAUAUAUUAACUAUAGUGUCAUUUUUAUUGGUUGAAUAGUGUUGAUGUUUGGUUGAAGGAAUUUACCAUACUUUAGUUAACCAGUCCUCUUUUUGUUGGUCAUUUUCAUUUUUCAGUUUUUCACCAAUAUCAAACAUAUACCAAAAAAAGAUAAAGAAAAAAGAAAGAGAGAGCAAAGAAGGGAAAGAGGGAGGGAGGAAAGAAGGGAGGGAGGAAGGAAGGACACUGCAAUGAACAUCUUGUGGCACACAUUAUUAAUUACCUUCUCUAAUACUGAGUAUUAUCUUUAAAAAUAAUCCUUACCAAUUAGAUAGGCAAAAUGGUAUUUUAAUGUUGCUUUGAUUUGCAUCUUUUAUUAUUGAUGGAAAUGAAAAAAAAAUCUUUGCUGACCCUUUUCAUUUCUUCUUUUCUGAUUUACCAGUACAAGUCCUUUGCCCAUUUUUCUGUUUGGCUAUUUAUCUUUUCCUUACUGAUAUGUAAGACUUCCUAAUUGUUAGUCCUUUUUUUUUCUCUUUCCAUUUGGCACUUGCCCUUUUUCUUUUUCUUUUUUUCUUUUUUCUGAGACAGGGUCUCGUUCUCACACUGUUACCCAGGCUAGAGUGCAAUAGUGCAAUCAUAGCUUACUGUGGCCUCAAACUCCUGGGCUCAAGCAAUCAUCCCAUCUCAGCCUCCUGAGUAGCUAGGACUAUAGGCACACGCCAUUAUGCCUGGCUUUUUUUUUUUUUUUUUUUUUUUUUUUUUUUUUUUUUUGGAGAGAUGGGGGUCUUGUUAUAUUGCACAGGCUGGUCUCGAACUUCCCCGCCUCAAGUGAUUCUCCCAUUUCAGCCUCCCAAAGCUGGGAUUACAGGUGUGAUCCACCAUGCCCAGCCUGCCCUUUAAUUUUUUGGUGACUUCUAAAGCACAGUUUUUAGUUUUUUAAUAUUUAAAAAAUAAAUAUUUUACUUAAUGUUUCACAUAAUAUAAUCCCCCCUCCCAAGACUAUACAAGUUUUUCUUUAUAUUUUCUUCUCGUAAGGCUAUGGUUUCAUUUUUAUAUAAAAUCUUUAAAAUCAUCCAAAUGCAUGAAAGUCACAAUAAAUCACUAGAAAUUUAUUUUAGAACAUGGUGUAUUUUUUCCCUCCAAACAAUUGGCCAAUGACCCUUUCAUUUAUUGUAUAGUUUAUAUUUUCCUCACUGAUUAUAAAUGUAACAUUUUAAAAAAAGAGAUGGGGUCUUGCUAUGUUAGGCUGAAGUGCAGUGGCUAUUCACAGGUGCAAUCACAGUGCACUAAAACCUCAAACUCCUGUGCUCAAGUGAUCUUCCCAUUUCAGCCUCCUGAGUAGCUGAGACUACAGGCUUGUGCUACCAUUCCCAACUUGAAUGCCACUUUUAUUAUCUAUCUACUUGGGUCUGAAUAACAUUGAAUUUUAAUGUGAAAAUACAAAGAUGCCCCACGUAUCUAACCAUUUCCCCUCUGUGUGUGUUGCCUGGGACCUCUUCAAAAGCUGUUUUUAAUCAGCUAUUGUGUGGAGGGAAAAUAAGGUUUCAUUUCAAAUGCCAAAAAGAUACUGAAUGAAUCUCUUUAAAAUUAAAUCAGAAAGUGUUAUAAAUAUUUUAUAACAGUGUCAUUGCUAAUGCAGACUUGUAUUGUGAGAUAUUAUAAUCUAAGCUCUUUUAUUGCUAUACAUCUGGGCUAUGAUGGCUUAUAUUUUAUGAUCAUAUUUUGCUCAUUAAGCCAAUAAAAUAUUCCUAAUUAACUAUGGGUGAUAUAUGCAUUAAUUAUAUAUUUAUUAUAAUUACUCAGGGGCUAAGUAUUAUUUAUGAAUUUAAAAUGAUCAAGGCCGGGCACAGUGGCUCACACCUGUAAUCCCAGCACUUUGGGAGGCCAAGGUGAGCAGAUCACAAGGUCACGAGUUUGAGAUCAGCCUUACCAACAUGGUGAAACCCGUCUCUACUAAAAAUACAAAAAUUAGCCGGGCGUGGUGGUGCGCGCCUGUAAUCCCAGCUACUCAGGAGACUGAGGCAGGAGAACUGCCUGAACCCGGGAGGCGGAGGUUGCAGUGAGCCGAGAUUACACCACUGCACUUCAGCCUGGGUGACAGAGCGAGACUCCAUCUCAAAAAAAAAAAAAAAAAAAAAAAGAUCAAACACAUUUUGCAUACAUGGGUACCUGUAUGUGACCAGCUGGUAGAUCUUAAAGCCAAAUGUAUUGGUUCAUGUUUUUCCAAUAUAAUCAAUAUAAUUAUACCAAAGAAAUAGAAAUCGAUUUUGUUAUCCUUUAAAGCUCCCAAUACUAGAAAAGCAUCUGCGUAGGUUUAAGUUGUGCUUAAGUUGUUCCUUUCUCCCAAAUACAAGAAAAUCACAAAGAUACAUAUUUCUGUUCUAAAUAUAAACAGUAACCCUAAUUUUAGUUUUAAUAAAGACGAUAGGUUUGAUGGUGAAUGCCAUCAUGGUGAACUGGUAUUUAGACAGUGACUUUCUCAAUCACUUUGCCUGUAAUUUAACCACAUGCCACUUGCCAUCAUAUGCUCCUGAAAAUACUAUAAUUGGUCACUUAAUCAAUGUACUAGCUCAUUGUAGUAAAUGUUGGCCUUAACCCAUUUAUGCCAGAGGUUGCAAAUUUUUUUGUGUGAAAAAUCAGACGAUGACCUUGAGCAUAGGAUAUAAAUAACUCCCACAAGCUUAGCAUUCCAAUAAUGGAACAUUAGGAAUAAAUAGGUUUUAACCAAAACAAUGACUUAGGUCAAGUUACAUAACCAAGCUUAUAAAGGUGAAUUUGCAGAAUUUUAUAUUAGGUCAUUUCAAAGAUACAUGUAACUCACUUUUCUUCCCAUAUAUACAUUCCAAUAAGACAUUUCAGGCAUGUUUUGGUGCAUUUGAUAGACGUCAAAAAUAAUACUUGCUGUCAAAAAACAGCAUUAAAUCCUGUGUGAGCCUGACUGAAAAAAGAGCUACAAUGUGAUUACCAAGAAAAUGGUCUGCGAAUUGCUUGGGCAGAAUCUCUAAAGCCUGUUCUUUUCCCAGUGCUCAUUUACAGUGAAGAAAACAAACCAGGUGGCAGGGGAAUUUAACUUGAAAAGAGGCUUAUUUUCCCCUCCCGAGACACAAAUUUGAUUUUAUCUCUUGGCUCAUAUUACAAAGUGUGGCUGUUCUCCAAAUUAGCUGGAGGAUGAUUUUUAAAAAAUGUUUCUCACUUCCUUCCCCUUAAUCAUGCUUUCUACAGUGUAUUGAGAAUAUCUACCUCUUCAUCUCCUCAAGUCUCUCACAGAUCAUUUCUCAUUUCGCCGCCUUCUAACUUCCUGUUCUGUCACAAAAUCUCUUGAUCAAUUCUCUCUACUUUUCUUGUAAAAUCCCAACUUUAUGUGCUAGGCUUAAAGCCACCACCAUUUUUAGAAAUCCGCUUAUCACAUGAUAAGCAUCAUGCCUCCACAAAGGGUAUCUCUAUUUUUCUUUUCUUUUUUUUUUGGAGACGGAGUCUCGCUCUGUCGCCCAGGCUGGAGUGCAGUGGCGUGAUCUCGGCUCACUACAAGCUCCGCCUCCCGGGUUCACGCCAUUCUCCUGCCUCAGCCUCCCGAGUAGCUGGGACUACAGGCGUCCGCCACCACAUCUGGCUAAUUUUUUGUAUUUUUAGUAGAGAGGGGGUUUCAACUGAUCUUGAUCUCCUGACCUCGUGAUCCACCCACCUCGGCCUCCCAAAGUGCUGGGAUUACAGGCGUGAGCCACGGCAACCGGCCCACAAAGGAUAUCUCUAUUUCAUAAAUGAAAAAGACUGAGCUUAGAAAAAUUCAGUAGCUUUUUCUCGCUCACAAGACUAGUAAAAUUUGAAGAGGAAGAGGAAUAUGUGACUUAAUCCCAGGUAUAGAAGGCCCAGGGCCUACACUUACUUUCAAUACCAACAAUGCAGGGGCAGUAUAACGUAACUAUGAAGAAGAGUUGUUCUGGAGCCAGACCGCAUGAGCUUCAAUCCUGGCUUUGUCACCUAAGAGUUAAUCUAAAUUUUUUGUGUUUCAGUUUCAUCAUCUGUAAAAUAUAAACCAUUUACUGAACAACUAUUCAUUGGUUCCCAAUCAUUCCACCUCAGAGUUGUUCUCUGAUGUGCUGUCUUGCUUUUGUUUAAUUUGUCACAUUUUAUGCUGAUGAUCACCAAGGGCUUAGAUGUCUAAAAAUGAAGGCUUAAAUCACUCUAUUAGGAAAAGCCCCCCAAUCAGUUGGAAUAGUAACUGUAAGCAGGGAAACUUGGAUGGGUAGUCAUACAUACUAGCUAUGGCCUCAUAAACUGUAGUGAGAAUGAGUACUCCACACAUAUUGCUGGAAUGUCUGAACACUGAAAAAUUACCUAUUCCUCUUCCCUGCCUUUUUUUCCUAAAAGACAAGGUCUUGCUCUGAUGCCCAGGCUGGAGUGCAAUGGCAUGAUGAUUGCUCACUGCAGCCUCAAACUCCUGAGCUCAAUCAAUCCUCCCACCUCAGUCUCCUGAGUAGCUACGACUACAGGUGCAUGCCACCAUGCCUGACUAAAUUUUUUUUUUACUUUUUAGUAGAGACAGGGUCUUGAAAUGCUGCCUAGGCUGGUCUUAAACUCCUGGCCUCAAGAGAGCCUCCUGCCUCUUUUUUUCCUUUUAAAAUAAGAACUAUCACUGUUUUCUUCUCCUUCCUUUUUUUUUUUUUUCUCUCUAGCAACUAUUGCCACCCUGGCCCCAAAAGUUAUUUAUAGAGUACAUUGGUAGUAAUUAUACUUACAAUUUAGUCCAUGGAGUGCAGGACCAUGAGGAACUAUAGCUAGAUAAGAUUGUGCCAGAAUUAGAAGAAUAGACAUUUUACUUUCAGAGACCAUGACUAAAAGAAUAUUAACACCAAGAUGCUCCUUCCAUCAGCUGGAUGUACCUUUGGGCUUGGAAAGAUGGCAAGUAUAGGAGUUGUACUGGAACGGCUGGAUCAAAUAGGUUGAAGGCAUUUUUGUCAUUGUACAUGUGGGGAAAAGCAACCAAGUAAUAAGACACAACAGAUAUCUCUUAAGGCACCGACACAGCUCACAGUGACACCUCCCUCCCCAGCACAGCGUAAGGGUGGAACAGUAGCAAAAUAUCUAUACACAUAACUUGCAGAUGAAUCAUGCCUGAGUAACAUGGACGUGGAAAUAUGACCCAAAUUGGGCAAACAGACUUGUUUUCCCAAGAAACUGGAAUUUUGAUGUGAGAUGCAUAGAGGGUGAGUUGUUUACAGCCCACCAGGAGGACAGUUUAUGGAUUCCUACCAGUGAGUUUCCCAGAGUUUCCCUGGUUAUUCAACAGUUCCCAAGAUUCCAUGAGAUACCCCAGUAUCCUUCCACUAAAGUCAACUUUAUGAGCUGCAGUUGUUGUUUGAGCCAGAACCUUAACUACUACACUUCCCCAAAUAGCCUUCUCUCAUGUUAUUCCUUUAUGUGUUCCUUUCUCUCCACCAAAAUAGCAAAACAGAAAAAACAAUUGGGCUUACCAAGAAUGCUGUGAUAUUUUGACUCACUGAGCUUUGGCUGUUUCCCUGCAUGAAAUUCCCUUCUUCUUCUUCCUGAAACCUUGUUCAAGGAUACUUCAACUAUGAUACUUACCAUUGUCAACCCCUAGUUACUUGCUUUGAUUUGGAAGGUCGUCCACUGUGCCCUGUCACAUCAAAAUCAUGGCACUUACCAUACUGCACUGUGUAGUCUUUGGUUUACUUGCCUGUCUCCCCCAUUAGAUGGCAAGCUCCUUGACAGCAAGGGCUACUUCCCAUCUGACUGUAUUUCUCCAGUUCUUUAUUACAGUACCUAGUGCCCAGGAGACCCAGUAAGUAAAUAGAUAAAUGAGUAAACAGUUUCUGCUUCAAUAUGAGAACAUGAUUAAGCUUACCUGCUUGAGGAAUGUGAGGAAAACAGCCAAUGUAAAACGGCCACACCCUUUCUAGAGCUGAUGACAGCCAACUCGUCCCAAAUGUGGAAGUCCAGCGAAAAAUCAGCAGAGCCACCUACCCAACCCACAGUUGACUUAGAAGAUAAUUCCAGAAGAGCUGUCCAACUAAUGCAGAGACUCCUAAGAAAAAAGGUAUAGUUAUUGUUGUAACCCACUGCCCUUUGGGUGGCUUCUUAGGCAGCAUUUUUGUAGCAAUAAAUAACUGGUGCAAUAUCUGUAGGUUAGAUUUUACCUGAGGAUCACCAACUUGAGAGCUUUGUUUGCUAAAAAAAAAAAAAAAAGGUUGUAAAUCCAAGGAUUGCUUUUACAAAUCCCACUGUGAAUGUGAAGAAUGGAUAUAUUUAUAAAUCAGUAGAAAUAAUAUUUCUCACUACUUAAUAAU